AUGGGGGUGCCUUCUUUCUUCCGUUGGCUGGGCAACAAGUAUCCCAAAGUGGUGGUCAAGGCCAUUGCCGACCAGAGAGAUGAGUCCACCAGCUCACCAAUCCCAAAUGGCAUUGAGUUUGAUAACCUUUAUCUUGACAUGAAUGGGAUUAUCCAUCCCUGCUUUCACCCGGAAUCAGACGAAGAUGGAGAAGGAAAUUUGUGCAACCAAACUAGAUUUGAAGAGGUGUUCAUCAAUAUUUUUGAAUAUAUUGAUACACUUUUCAACGUUGUUCGACCAAGGAAGCUUUUAUACAUGGCCAUAGAUGGAGUUGCUCCAAGGGCUAAAAUGAAUCAACAACGUGCCAGGCGUUUCAAGUCUGCCAAGGACAAGGAAUUAGCUGAUGCUGAAGAAGAGAAGCUGAGAAGACAGUUUGAAUUGGAAGGCAAACAAGUGUUACCAAAAAAGGAAAACGAAGUCUCCGAUUCAAAUAUAAUCACCCCUGGAACUGAUUUUAUGUACAAAUUGUUGAAUGCUCUCCGCAGCUAUAUUAAUUUACGUUUGAGCAAUGAUUCAGGCUGGAGGGACAUCAAGGUGAUUCUUUCUGAUGCCAAUGUUCCUGGAGAAGGGGAACACAACAUAAUGUCUUUCAUACGCCAGCAGCGUAAUUUUCCUUCAUAUGAUCCAAACACCCGCCAUUGCAUGUAUGGAUUGGACGCAGAUUUGAUAAUGUUGGCUUUGGCGACACAUGAAGUUCAUUUUUCCAUAUUGAGAGAGGAUGUUCUAAACCAGGAGCAGCAACAUGCAAACUGUCAAUCUGUUCGAGAAAUGACUUCGUCUUCUGUAAAGUCAGACAACAGAAAAGCAUCCAUUGUAAAAAAGCCCUAUCAGCUUCUGCAUGUUUGGAUUUUGAGGGAAUAUUUGGAGCUUGAUAUGCAAAUCAAUGAUCCUCCUGCGAAUUUCAAGUUUGAUCUUGAGCGUAUAAUUGAUGAUUUUAUAUUUAUGUGUUUUUUUGCUGGAAAUGUUUUUCUGCCCCACAUGCCAUCUUUGGAAAUUCAUGAGGGUGCAAUUGACUUGCUGACGACUGUGUAUAAGAAGGAAUUCAAAAAUCUCGGUGGUUAUAUGGUUGAUAUGCUCCAGCUAGAGGAAGAAAUUGAUGCUGGUAGUUCAACUACUGAUUCAAGCAGUACUUGUGCAUUGCCUAAUGGAGAAGAAUCCCAAGCUCUGUCACUUGGGACGUUUGAAAAUAUGCAUUCUCAAAUAAUAGAAAAUACAGAGGAGUUUAAGCAGAAAUUGAAAGAUAGCAUCAGAAGGAAAUCUGAUCUGUUUAAGAAUGGUGAUUUAGGGACGGACAAAGUACGAUAUGCUGCUGCAGGCUACAAGGAAAGAUAUUACAAAUACAAAUUUUCUGCAGAAGGGCCAGGGGAUAUUGAAAGCAAAAGAAAGGAAGUAGUUAAAUACUACACUGAAGGACUGCUCUCGGUUCUCUUGUACUAUUUUUCUGGUCCCCCAUCAUGGACAUGGUUUUAUCCUUUCCAUUAUGCUCCAUUUGCUUCCGACUUAAAGGGCCUUGGUCAGGUGAAACCUAAGUUUGAAAAAGGUUCCCCAUUCUUACCUAUUGAUACUCUUAUGGCUGUGUUACCACCCAGAAGGUAACUAUGUUUCUUUGUUUUGUAAGUUUGCUCAUGCACUUCCGAAAGUUUAUCAGACACUUAUGACAGAUGAGAGUUCUACCAUUAUUGACUUUUACCCUUCUGAUUUUGAAAUUGAUAUGGAUGGGAAACGCUUGACAUGGCAGGGCAUUUGCAAACUUCCUUUUAUAGAAGAAGAACGGCUUCUAUCUCAAACAAGAAAGUUAGAGAAGGAGUUGGUGGGGGAAGACAGAGACAGGAAUAAAGAGAAAGUUGAUCAAUUAUUUGUGCAAAGCACACGCAAUAUGGCAUCACAGAUUGUCGCACUGUUUACAAAGGAAAACUGCCCCAUCAAGAUUGACAACAGUUUGUGUUCUGGAAUUAGUAGUUUUUUCCGUCUUCAUGAGAAUGCUUCCAGUGUUAAAGGAGGAGAUCAUAAACUUCGAGAAGACUCUGUCUUAUGUGUGCGAUAUGAGCUUCCAAAAGAUGGUCCACAUGCGCCUCGUUUACUUGCUGGUGUAGAGUUUCCUGUCAAGACAAUCACUGAAGACGAUCUUAUGGAGACAAAACUAUGGCACGAAUAUCAGGGAAGCACAUCCAGCUCCAGCAGUCACCUUGUUCAGGAAAGGUUUAGCAAACCAGAUAACGUGGGAAAUCGAGGCUUCCGGAACAAUGCUAGAUUCACUUCUAGCUCUCCGAAUAUGAUACACAAAUUUUCUGGCACUGGAUGGGGUUGUGGUAGAGGGAAAGCAAUUGCAAGUCCUGAUUUUGGAGACCGAUUUCAUGCUCCAGGAAGAAUACCUUGUGAAAGAGUAAUGUCAUCUAGCUCAUAUUCAGCGAACGGUGCAGUAGUAUACAAAAAAGCCUCUCUUCAUGAGACACCUUUUUGUCAUGAAAAGUGGAGAGUUGCUGGUUCUGGUUCAGGAGAUCAAAUACGAACCCUUAGGGAUUUGAAAAUAUCGAAGUCGUCAUCAAGCCAGGGCUGGAGGCCUAAUGGAAGAGUUCAGUCAGCAAACAAUGUUUUCCAGCCGUCUAGAAAUGGCUUCACACCUGACACAAACCAUGCUUGGCAACAUGGUCAGUGCCGCAGUAGGGGCCAUCAGGACUCCUCGAAGCAUUAUUCACCUUUUGCUGCUAACCGUUCAUCCCAAGUCAGUGCCGCAGUAGGGGCCAUAAGCCCCGCUGGUAGCUAGUUAACACAUAGCCCUCUUUGCUUGGCUGCCAAAAGAGCAAGAAAAGCACUGUUUUGUUCACAUUCCAUAUAUUUUGUAUUUUACGGCUGAAGGAUGAAGAAUAUUCGAUCUGCUAGCUUUUUCCUAUGCUUCACAAUUUCUGCAAUUCCAUAUUUUUGUUAAUUAAGCAAGGCAUUCUACUCAAGAAUCAAAUAAUGUUGGGCUAAA